UCUGUUUAUACUGUUGGCUUAGCACAGUGCAGCUGCACUGUUGCUGCAGUACAGUGAGAGUCUUCUGAAGGGAUGUGAACAAGUUGAGGAUGCAUGGCUGGCUUACAGGAAUAGAAUGCCUUCCACUGGUUUAUUGACUUCAGAGGGAGUAAAGUUACGCCUUUAAAACUGUGUUCUCUCCUCCAUAAAUUAAGCAAAUGUAAACCUGUGAGCCGGAACAUCAAUCAAAGGAGUUUUCCAUUAGAAAAAGGUGCAACUACAUGGCCUUCAGAGAAUAAACAUGUUACUUUCUAAGCAUCAAUUAUGGUUUUACACGUUGGAUCUACUCAGUAGUUACUUAUUAAAUGGAUCUGUGGAAUUACAGGAAAUACUUGUAACCAAGUUAUCAAGCAAAGACAUGGGAGAAAAGACAGCACGGCAUUUACACCCAACAGGAGAGAGAAUCUUGGUCUGGGCCCAACUUCGCAAAGAAUACAUUGCAAAGAUCUACACCAGACUAACACGGCUACAUUUCUAUCACCAUCUUGAAUCAAAGACUUUGAACACUGGAAAUGUAACGUCAAAACCAGACACAAUCUUGGACUUCCAUCACUGGACACACACAAGAAGCUAGAGCUUUUGCAAGCUGAGAAAGCAGGACCAGCUGCAUGAGAAGCAUGUCCAAUACUUCCCACACCAGCUUCAUGACCCUGUGAGAGCUGCCACUGCAGAUGAUCCCAGGAAGACCUGCAGCAGGAACAUGUUGCCUGCCUGCAUUCCUUGCAGCAGUUUUUGGAAUGGAAGGACUGGAGGGUGGCUGCCGGCCUGGAGGAGUGCCAUGCUGACAGGGAGCUGCACCGCACCAUCUAGCGGGAGUUGCCCCAAGAGACCUGGAGCAUGUGUGUGGCCUACACCGCCACCGCCUGGUGACUGCCAUUGAGCAGUCCCCUGACCUCCUGCUUCUGCCCCGCCCCUCUGACUUCUCCCCUUCAUCUCCCCAUGGCUGCUGAGGACCCCACACAUGAGGUGGUGGGACCACCUGAGGCAGGCAACAGCCCCAGCCCUGAGCACCUCCCCCCUUUCCACCUCUCUUCUCCCAGAUUCUUUCCCCGGUCC